rnacentral:rRNA from 1 species
CACCGGCUAAACUACGUGCCAGCAGCCGCGGUGAUACGUAGGGGUGCGAGCGUUGUCCGGAUUUAUUGGGGCGUAAAAGGGCUCGUAGGUGGUUGAUCGCGUCGGAAGUGUAAUCUUGGGGCUUAACCCUGAGCGUGCUUUCGAUACGGGUUGACUUGAGGAAGGUAGGGGAGAAUGGAAUUCCUGGUGGAGCGGUGGAAUGCGCAGAUAUCAGGAGGAACACCAGUGGCGAAGGCGGUUCUCUGGGCCUUUCCUGACGCUGAGGAGCGAAAGCGUGGGGAGCGAACAGGCUUAGAUACCCUGGUAGUCCACGCUGUAAACGGUGGGUACUAGGUGUGGGGUCCAUUCCACGGGUUCCGUGCCGUAGCUAACGCUUUAAGUACCCCGCCUGGGGAGUACGGCCGCAAGGCUAAAACUCAAAGGAAUUGACGGGGCCCCGCACAAGCGGCGGAGCAUGCGGAUUAAUUCGAUGCAACGCGUAGAACCUUACCUGGGUUUGACAUGGAUCGGGAGUGCUCAGAGAUGGGUGUGCCUCUUUUGGGGUCGGUUCACAGGUGGUGCAUGGCUGUCGUCAGCUCGUGU